rnacentral:lncRNA from 1 species
UGUACUCGUCUCAUGCGAGUACACGAAGAUGUGAGGUGGAAGCUGCACGAUCGGGCGCCGCAGGAGCUUCGAUCGGACCGGCAUCCACUUUUUCUUCCAGUGCCUUGUUCCUACUCUAAUAUGUUGUCUACAGGAAGACUGGCCAGGGGGAUUGACAGGGGGAUGGCUGUUAAGAGGUCCCCACACUCUUUAACACCAUACGGAACGGGGGGGAACCGGGGGACGGGCUGGAGCGGGCGGGCAUCUGCACUGUGCCUGUCACUGACCGUCGCAGUGGCCAGUCGGCAUCCUGCAUGGGGG